rnacentral:rRNA from 1 species
UGAAUACGAGACGCUACGGCGUCGAAGCAGUCUAUGUCAUACUUCCAAGAAAAGCUUGCACUGUCAUAAACAAAUAACGCCUGUACCAUAACCGACACAGGUGGGUAGGUAGAGUAUACUAAGGGGCGCGAGAUAACUCUCUCUAAGGAACUCGGCAAAAUGACUCCGUAACUUCGGGAGAAGGAGUGCCUUAUUUAUAAGGUUGCAAUAACAAGAUCCAAGCAACUGUUUAUCAAAAACACAGGUCUCCGCUAAGUCGUAAGACGAUGUAUGGGGGCUGACGCCUGCCCAGUGCCAGAAGGUUAAAGAAGUUGGUUAGCAUUAGCGAAGCUGAUAACCGAAGCCCUGGUGAACGGCGGCCGUAACAAUAACGGUCCUAAGGUAGCGAAAUUCCUUGUCGGGUAAGUUCCGACCCGCACGAAAGGCGUAAUGAUUUGGAUACUGUCUCAGAGAGGGGCUCGGUGAAAUAGACUUGUCUGUGAAGAUGCGGACUACCUGCACCAGGACAGAAAGACCCUAUGAAGCUUUACUGUAACUUGAAAUUGAAAUUGGACUUUAUUUGCGCAGUAUAGGUGGGAGGCAUUGAUAAUAUUCUUGCGGGAAUGUUGGAGCCAUCAGUGAGAUACCACUCUUGUAAUGUUAGAUUUCUAACUUUGGAUCAUUAUCUGGUCAAAGGACAGUUUCAGGCGGGCAGUUUGACUGGGGCGGUCGCCUCCUAAAUGGUAACGGAGGCGCACAAAGGUUUCCUCUGAACGGGUAGAAAUCGUAUCUAGAGUGUAAAGGCAUAAGGAAGCUUGACUGUGAGACCUACAAGUCGAGCAGGGACGAAAGUCGGUCUUAGUGAUCUGACGGUGCUGAGUGGAAAGGCCGUCACUCAACGGAUAAAAGUUACUCUAAGGAUAACAGGCUGAUCUCCCCCAAGAGUUCACAUCGACGGGGAGGUUUGGCACCUUGAUGUCGGCUCAUCGCAUCCUGGGGCGGUAGUACGUCCCAAGGGUUGGGCUGUUCGCCCAUGAAAGCGGUACGCGAGCUGGGUUCAGAACGUCGUGAGACAGUUCGGUCCAUAUCCGGUGUAGGCGUUAGAAUAUUGAGAGGAGCCUUCUUUAGUACGAGAGGACCGAGAAGGACAUACCUCUGGUGUACCAGUUAUCGUGCCAACGGUAAACGCUGGGUAGCUAUGUAUGGAGAGGAUAACCGCUGAAAGCAUCUAAGUGGGAAGCCCACCUCAAGAUAAG